rnacentral:lncRNA from 1 species
AUGGAGUUUGGACCUGGAAGAUUGGCGAAGUCUGGUAUCGUUAGUGAUGAUAUGGAGUAUGAUGAUUCAGAUGCAGAAGUGUGGAAUCCCGUGACCAGUAUGAAAAAGAAUAGAACAAGAAGGUGUUCUGAGAUGAGUGAUAGUGACAGAGAAAAGCAGAAUGAGUCGAAAAAAGCAAGGAGGAAGGAGGAAGGAGAAGUGUGGAAAGUGAUUGUGGAGUUUGAAGAGAUAUCUAGUAGCAAGCUACACCCAGUCAAACUGUCGAAAGCUAUGAGGAAUGAGAUUGGUUCGGUCAAACAGGCAAGGUUCUUGAGCAAAGGAAGGAUGUUAAUAGAAGCUGUUAACAAGGAUCAGCAAGAAAAGAUUUUGAAAAUGAGUACACUGAACGAAGUGAGAAUCAAAAGUCAUAUCCCUGGUAUAAAUCGUAAGAUACGUGGAGUGAUAACCGGAGUGCCAAUAGACUUAAGUAUUGAAGAACUGCAGAAAGAAAUCAAGGGAGCCAAAGUGACUGUUGAAAAAAGGUUGUCCACCAGAUACCAGGGGAAAAUAGUGGACAGUUUGUCUGUGCUUAUUCAGUUUGAAGGGGCAAUAAAGGAUAAGGUUACGAUUGGAUACCUGAGUUACCCGGUUAGAGAAUUUGUUCCCAGGCCAUUGCGGUGCUUUAAAUGCCAGAGGUUUGGGCAUAUAGCAGGACAAUGUAGGGCAAAGCCAAGAUGUGCCAAAUGUGCAGGGGAACAUGAAUACGGUAAAUGCGAGGCAGAGGCUAAAGCUAAAUGCUGCAAUUGUGGAGGGGAUCACAGUGCGGCAUAUCAAGGAUGCGAAGCACAGAUUAAAGCAAAAGAAAUUCAGAAAUAUAAAGUCCAGAAUAAAGUAACAUAUGCAGAGGCAAUCAAACAAGUAAAAGGACCACAAGGUGGUGCAAGUGUGGGUGUUGUUGAACCCUCUGAGUAUUCACAGCAAGCUUUAGAGCCAGUAGGUUUGCAAUGUGAUGUGAAUAAGGACACUUUGAUUGUGGAUAAGGCUAACUUUGUAUUCUUCAUGGCGAAGGUCAUAAAUCUAGCUAUGCAGGACAAAAGUACAAGGUCAGAUCGGAUAAAGAUUGUUGUGGAGGCAGCAAGGGAAUACUUAGACAUAAAGGAU